rnacentral:rRNA from 1 species
CACGUGGGGUGCGAGCGUUGUCCGGAAUUAUUGGGCGUAAAGAGCUCGUAGGCGGUGUGUCGCGUCGGCCGUGAAAACCUGUGGCUUAACCAUGGGCUUGCGGUCGAUACGGGCAUCACUGGAGUUCGGCAGGGGAGACUGGAAUUCCUGGUGUAGCGGUGAAAUGCGCAGAUAUCAGGAGGAACACCGGUGGCGAAGGCGGGUCUCUGGGCCGAUACUGACGCUGAGGAGCGAAAGCGUGGGGAGCGAACAGG